AACUGUAUGUUAUUAAAUACAGCUUUUCCUGCUCAAUGAUAUUAAAUAGCCGCAGUACCCUGACUGUGCAAAGGUAGCAUAAUCAGUUGGCUCAUAAUUGGAGUCUGGAAUGAACGGAUUUUUGGAAAAUAACUUUAUUUUACUUAUUUAUUUGAAAUUAGUUUAUAAGUGAAAAUACUUAUAUUUAUAUAAAGGACGAGAAGACCCUAGAAAUUUCUUUUCUUUUGUUGGGGCGACAGAAUUACAUGAAACUAAUUUAACAUUACGUGACGUUAAUUACAGUUUGAUUAAAUUACUCUAGGGAUAACAGCAUAAUUUUAAUAGUUUGUGACCUCGAUGUUGGACUAGGAUAUUAAUGGUUUAGAAGACUUUUAAGAUUGCUCUGUUCGAGCAACAUUUCCUACAU
rnacentral:rRNA from 1 species